GGCGGCGUGCCUAACACAUGCAAGUCGAGCGAGGAGAUCCUCGGGAUGAUCCUAGCGGCGGACGGGUGAGUAACACGUGGGCAACCUGCCUCAUAGAGAGGAAUAGCCUCCGAAAGGGAGAUUAAUACCUCAUAACAUUGCAGUUUCGCAUGGAACAGCAAUUAAAGGAGUAAUCCGCUAUGAGAUGGGGCCCCGCGGGCGCAUUAGCUAGUUCGGUGAGGUAAUGGCUCACCAAGGCGACGAUGCGUAGCCGACCUGAGAGGGUGAUCGGCCACAUUGGGACUGAGACACGACCCAGACUCCUACGGGAGGCAGCAGUGGGGAAUAUUGCACAAUGGGGGAAACCCUGAUGCAAGCAACGCCGCGUGAGUGAUGACGGCCUUCGGGUUGUAAAGCUCUGUCUUCAGGGACGAUAAUGACGGUACCUGAGGAGGAAGCCACGGCUAACUACGUGCCAGCCGCUGC
rnacentral:rRNA from 1 species